rnacentral:rRNA from 1 species
GACGAACGCUGGCGGCGUGCUCAACACAUGCAAGUCGAACGGAAAGGCCCUGCUUUUGCGGGGUGCUCGAGUGGCGAACGGGUGAGUAACACGUGAGUAACCUGCCCUUGACUUUGGGAUAACUUCAGGAAACUGGGGCUAAUACCGGAUAGGAGCUCCUGCUGCAUGGUGGGGGUUGGAAAGUUUCGGCGGUUGGGGAUGGACUCGCGGCUUAUCAGCUUGUUGGUGGGGUAGUGGCUUACCAGGGCUUUGACGGGUAGCCGGCCUGAGAGGGUGACCGGCCACAUUGGGACUGAGAUACGGCCCAGACUCCUACGGGAGGCAGCAGUGGGGAAUAUUGCACAAUGGGCGGAAGCCUGAUGCAGCAACGCCGCGUGCGGGAUGACGGCCUUCGGGUUGUAAACCGCUUUCGCCUGUGACGAAGCGUGAGUGACGGUAAUGGGUAAAGAAGCACCGGCUAACUACGUGCCAGCAGCCGCGGUGAUACGUAGGGUGCGAGCGUUGUCCGGAUUUAUUGGGCGUAAAGGGCUCGUAGGUGGUUGAUCGCGUCGGAAGUGUAAUCUUGGGGCUUAACCCUGAGCGUGCUUUCGAUACGGGUUGACUUGAGGAAGGUAGGGGAGAAUGGAAUUCCUGGUGGAGCGGUGGAAUGCGCAGAUAUCAGGAGGAACACCAGUGGCGAAGGCGGUUCUCUGGGCCUUUCCUGACGCUGAGGAGCGAAAGCGUGGGGAGCGAACAGGCUUAGAUACCCUGGUAGUCCACGCUGUAAACGGUGGGUACUAGGUGUGGGGUCCAUUCCACGGGUUCCGUGCCGUAGCUAACGCUUUAAGUACCCCGCCUGGGGAGUACGGCCGCAAGGCUAAAACUCAAAGGAAUUGACGGGGCCCCGCACAAGCGGCGGAGCAUGCGGAUUAAUUCGAUGCAACGCGUAGAACCUUACCUGGGUUUGACAUGGAUCGGGAGUGCUCAGAGAUGGGUGUGCCUCUUUUGGGGUCGGUUCACAGGUGGUGCAUGGCUGUCGUCAGCUCGUGUCGUGAGAUGUUGGGUUAAGUCCCGCAACGAGCGCAACCCUUGUUCACUGUUGCCAGCACGUUAUGGUGGGGACUCAGUGGAGACCGCCGGGGUCAACUCGGAGGAAGGUGGGGAUGACGUCAAGUCAUCAUGCCCCUUAUGUCCAGGGCUUCACGCAUGCUACAAUGGCUGGUACAGAGAGUGGCGAGCCUGUGAGGGUGAGCGAAUCUCGGAAAGCCGGUCUCAGUUCGGAUUGGGGUCUGCAACUCGACCUCAUGAAGUCGGAGUCGCUAGUAAUCGCAGAUCAGCAACGCUGCGGUGAAUACGUUCCCGGGGCU